GUGGGGAAUAUUGCGCAAUGGGGGAAACCCUGACGCAGCAACGCCGCGUGAGUGAUGAAGGCCUUCGGGUCGUAAAGCUCUGUCGGCAGGAACGAUGGUUUGGUGGCCUAAUACGUCAUCAGAUUGACGGUACCUGCAAAGGAAGCACCGGCUAACUCUGUGCCAGCAGCCGCGGUAAGACAGAGGGUGCAAGCGUUGUUCGGAAUUAUUGGGCGUAAAGGGCGCGUAGGCGGCCCAUCAAGUCAGAUGUGAAAGCCCAGGGCUCAACCUUGGAAGUGCAUCUGAAACUGAUGAGCUAGAGUUCACGGAGAGGGUGGUGGAAUUCCCAGUGUAGAGGUGAAAUUCGUAGAUAUUGGGAGGAACACCGGUGGCGAAGGCGACCACCUGGACGGAAACUGACGCUGAGACGCGAAAGCGUGGGUAGCAAACAGGAUUAGAAACCCCUGUAGUCC
rnacentral:rRNA from 1 species